rnacentral:tRNA from 2 species
GCCGGCUUGGCGCAAUUGGUAGCGCACCUAACUUGUAAUUAGGGGGUUACGGGUUCGAGUCCCGUAGCCGGCUCCA